CUGGCGGCAGGCCUAACACAUCAAGUCGAGCGGAAACGAGUUAUCUGAACCUUCGGGGNACGAUAACGGCGUCGAGCGGCGGACGGGUGAGUAAUGCCUAGGAAAUUGCCCUGAUGUGGGGGAUAACCAUUGGAAACGAUGGCUAAUACCGCAUGAUGCCUACGGGCCAAAGAGGGGGACCUUCGGGCCUCUCGCGUCAGGAUAUGCCUAGGUGGGAUUAGCUAGUUGGUGAGGUAAGGGCUCACCAAGGCGACGAUCCCUAGCUGGUCUGAGAGGAUGAUCAGCCACACUGGAACUGAGACACGGUCCAGACUCCUACGGGAGGCAGCAGUGGGGAAUAUUGCACAAUGGGCGCAAGCCUGAUGCAGCCAUGCCGCGUGUGUGAAGAAGGCCUUCGGGUUGUAAAGCACUUUCAGUCGUGAGGAAGGUAGUGUAGUUAAUAGCUGCAUUAUUUGACGUUAGCGACAGAAGAAGCACCGGCUAACUCCGUGCCAGCAGCCGCGGUAAUACGGAGGGUGCGAGCGUUAAUCGGAAUUACUGGGCGUAAAGCGCAUGCAGGUGGUUUGUUAAGUCAGAUGUGAAAGCCCGGGGCUCAACCUCGGAAUAGCAUUUGAAACUGGCAGACUAGAGUACUGUAGAGGGGGGUAGAAUUUCAGGUGUAGCGGUGAAAUGCGUAGAGAUCUGAAGGAAUACCGGUGGCGAAGGCGGCCCCCUGGACAGAUACUGACACUCAGAUGCGAAAGCGUGGGGAGCAAACAGGAUUAGAUACCCUGGUAGUCCACGCCGUAAACGAUGUCUACUUGGAGGUUGUGGCCUUGAGCCGUGGCUUUCGGAGCUAACGCGUUAAGUAGACCGCCUGGGGAGUACGGUCGCAAGAUUAAAACUCAAAUGAAUUGACGGGGGCCCGCACAAGCGGUGGAGCAUGUGGUUUAAUUCGAUGCAACGCGAAGAACCUUACCUACUCUUGACAUCCAGAGAACUUUCCAGAGAUGGAUUGGUGCCUUCGGGAACUCUGAGACAGGUGCUGCAUGGCUGUCGUCAGCUCGUGUUGUGAAAUGUUGGGUUAAGUCCCGCAACGAGCGCAACCCUUAUCCUUGUUUGCCAGCGAGUAAUGUCGGGAACUCCAGGGAGACUGCCGGUGAUAAACCGGAGGAAGGUGGGGACGACGUCAAGUCAUCAUGGCCCUUACGAGUAGGGCUACACACGUGCUACAAUGGCGCAUACAGAGGGCGGCCAACUUGCGAAAGUGAGCGAAUCCCAAAAAGUGCGUCGUAGUCCGGAUUGGAGUCUGCAACUCGACUCCAUGAAGUCGGAAUCGCUA
rnacentral:rRNA from 1 species